rnacentral:rRNA from 1 species
CCUACGGGUGGCUCAGUGGGGAAUAUUGCACAAUGGGCGCAAGCCUGAUGCAGCCAUGCCGCGUGUGUGAAGAAGGCCUUCGGGUUGUAAAGCACUUUCAGCGGGGAGGAAGGCGUUAAGGUUAAUAACCUUGGCGAUUGACGUUACCCGCAGAAGAAGCACCGGCUAACUCCGUGCCAGCAGCCGCGGUAAUACGGAGGGUGCAAGCGUUAAUCGGAAUUACUGGGCGUAAAGCGCACGCAGACGGUCUGUCAAGUCGGAUGUGAAAUCCCCGGGCUCAACCUGGGAACUGCAUUCGAAACUGGCAGGCUAGAGUCUUGUAGAGGGGGGUAGAAUUCCAGGUGUAGCGGUGAAAUGCGUAGAGAUCUGGAGGAAUACCGGUGGCGAAGGCGGCCCCCUGGACAAAGACUGACGCUCAGGUGCGAAAGCGUGGGGAGCAAACAGGAUUAGAUACCCGAGUAGUC